AUUGAACGCUGGCGGCAUGCCUUACACAUGCAAGUCGAACGGCAGCACGGGUGCUUGCACCUGGUGGCGAGUGGCGAACGGGUGAGUAAUACAUCGGAAUGUACCCAGUAAUGGGGGAUAACGCUUCGAAAGGAGUGCUAAUACCGCAUACGCCCUGAGGGGGAAAGGGGGGGACCGCAAGGCCUCCCGUUAUUGGAGCAGCCGAUGGCUGAUUAGCUAGUUGGUGAGGUAAAGGCUCACCAAGGCGACGAUCAGUAGCGGGUCAUAGAGGACGAUCCGCCACACUGGAACUGAGACACGGUCCAGACUCCUACGGGAGGCAGCAGUGGGGAAUCUUGGACAAUGGGCGAAAGCCUGAUCCAGCAAUGCCGCGUGCGUGAAGAAGGCCUUCGGGUUGUAAAGCGCUUUUGUCUGGGAGCAAAUCCUGGCCUCUAAUACAGGUCGGGGAUGAGAGUACCAGAAGAAUAAGGACCGGCUAACUACGUGCCAGCCGCCGCGGUAAAAC
rnacentral:rRNA from 1 species